rnacentral:rRNA from 1 species
GAUGAACGCUGGCGGCGUGCCUAAUACAUGCAAGUCGAGCGAACAGAUGAGGAGCUUGCUCCUCUGACGUUAGCGGCGGACGGGUGAGUAACACGUGGAUAACCUACCUAUAAGACUGGGAUAACUUCGGGAAACCGGAGCUAAUACCGGAUAAUAUAUUGAACCGCAUGGUUCAAUAGUGAAAGACGGUUUUGCUGUCACUUAUAGAUGGAUCCGCGCCGCAUUAGCUAGUUGGUAAGGUAACGGCUUACCAAGGCGACGAUGCGUAGCCGACCUGAGAGGGUGAUCGGCCACACUGGAACUGAGACACGGUCCAGACUCCUACGGGAGGCAGAAGUAGGGAAUCUUCCGCAAUGGGCGAAAGCCUGACGGAGCAACGCCGCGUGAGUGAUGAAGGUCUUCGGAUCGUAAAACUCUGUUAUUAGGGAAGAACAAAUGUGUAAGUAACUAUGCACGUCUUGACGGUACCUAAUCAGAAAGCCACGGCUAACUACGUG